rnacentral:misc_RNA from 1 species
CCGAGUUUAUCAACUCCCAAACCCCUGUGAACAUACCUACUGUUGCCUCGGCGGGAUAGCCCCGGCCUGGCGCAGCCUCGGCACCGGAACCAGGCGCCCGCCGCAGGACCUACCAAACUCUUGUAUUCUAUAUGAAUCUUCUGAGUGACCAUAAGCAAUAAAUUA